rnacentral:rRNA from 1 species
GACAGAGGGUGCAAACGUUGUUCGGAAUUACUGGGCGUAAAGCGCGUGUAGGCUGCUCGGAAAGUCGGAUGUGAAAGCCCUGGGCUCAACCUAGGAAGUGCAUUCGAAACUUCCGAGCUGGAGUGCUGGAGAGGAAGGCGGAAUUCUCGGUGUAGAGGUGAAAUGCGUAGAGAUCUGGAGGAACACCGAUGGCGAAGGCAGCCUUCUGGGCCAACACUGACGCUCAUGCACGAAAGCGUGGGGAGCAAACAGG